rnacentral:rRNA from 1 species
UUGAACGCUGGCGGCAUGCCUAACACAUGCAAGUCGAACGGCAGCGCGGGCUUCGGCCUGGCGGCGAGUGGCGGACGGGUGAGGAAUACAUAGGAAUCUGCCCAGUCGUGGGGGAUAACCCGGGGAAACCCGGACUAAUACCGCAUACGACGGUGACGUGAAAGCCGGGGACCUUCGGGCCUGGCGCGAUUGGAUGAGCCUAUGUCGGAUUAGCUAGUUGGCGGGGUAAAGGCCCACCAAGGCGACGAUCCGUAGCUGGUCUGAGAGGAUGAUCAGCCACACUGGGACUGAGACACGGCCCAGACUCCUACGGGAGGCAGCAGUGGGGAAUAUUGGACGAUGGGCGCAAGCCUGAUCCAGCAAUGCCGCGUGGGUGAAGAAGGCCUUCGGGUUGUAAAGCCCUUUUGUACGGGAAGAAAUCAUCCGGGUUAAUACCCUGGGUGGAUGACGGUACCGUAAGAAUAAGCACCGGCUAACUUCGUGC